CCGUCUGGUGUAGAAUGGGUGCGUAAAUGCUCCUAAAAUGCAUGUACAAAGUUGCCUGCGCAUUUAACACAACCACAGUAGCUAAUGGAAAAAUAUACACCCGUUUCUCACUUGAAGCGCUCUCAGUGUCACCGACGACACGACCAGACACUCCGAAGCAAAAUCGGAAUAAAAAGUGUUCGUGAGCGAUUUACCACCAGUUAUCGAAUAUUGAAAAACCCCUAGGUAAUAAUAAAAAUAUAUUUUACAAGCAUCACUGCUGUGGUUGCUACGAAAUAGUCGCCAUGCACGGCAUAAUAAACAAACAGGAAUGUGCCAGUUAUUAUGGAGAUAACAAUAUGAGGAUGUGAUGGUGAUCUAUCAAAAUGGAACAUAUCCGCCUAUAUUUACCACUGAAUUUUUCGCUUCCUUUCAACAAUAUUUGAAUGAUGUCCCUGUCAAGCCGCCCACUGAUGGUCUCGGCUUCUACAGGCGUUUAAAAAGAGAUUCAUUAUAAGAAUCAUACCACGGAAAGCACCAUCUGCCUAAUGAUAAUCGGUUGCAAAACAAAUUAUCUCACGACCAACAAAGCACACUCAAGAACUAGGGUAACAGAGGUAUUUUGGCCCACUUUAGGAUUGAUUUUAUUUUGGCCCACUUUGAAUAAAUAUCCACCAAAUGUUGAAAUAUCUUUCAAAAACCCUUCCGCAAUAGGUAAUUUAAUGUGUUUACCUUCAAAUUUAUGUAACAUGAGUUACUUCACAUCAAUUAAAUCCGAUAAAAUCGAUAAAGUUUGUUAGGUGGGCCAAAAUAUAUGAAGUGGCCAAAAUACCUCUGUUACCCUAUUUACUUACAAAACGACUUGCCGUAAUACGAGCACAACAAAUAUAGAUUUCAUCAAUCUACAUUUUUAUUUAUUCCGGACGUUUGAAACAUGAUUUACUAAUAAACCGGUGAAAUGAAUGUUAUACGAACACCCCCUAAAAUGAAUGCAGUCAUCACAUAAGGUUAACGUGAAUUGACCAAACGUCAAACAAUCUACGAGAAUUUCAGGUGUGAAAACCCCGAUUUUGAAAAUGGCGAGCAAUGGCCCUCAAAGUCAUGAAAGUUUCCAUGUGUUCGACUGGACCGAAUGCUUGCGUGAGUUGGGAAGUUUGCGGCUCCUUCCGAAUGCUUCAAACAUGUCGUUGGUCCACCGAAAAACGAGUUCAAAAUCGGUAUGAAGCUAUAGACACUGGAACCAUGUAUUUCGACUUCAACCUGCAUCGGUAGUGUUGUGGGAGUUCUCGUAUCUCGACUUCGGCUUCGGUUGGAUGGCAGUGACAACACG